rnacentral:sRNA from 1 species
UCUACCUGAUCACUGAUUUCACAAAUUGAGAAACAUUUUAGACCUUGAAGUCAAGUGUAAGUUAUUUAUUUUUUUGGUUAUUUCAAAAAAUUGUAUAGAGAUUGUAUCUAGGAUGUCUUGAUUUUGUUACAUGUAUGUGGAGAAUCCUUUAUAUUUUUAUUUACAUAUCAAUGAAGUAUUGUUUUGAUUAGUAAUCCUUUUGAGUGAUAGAGUGAGAGAAAGAAAAUGAGUGAUGUAGAAAGAAAGAAAGAAAGAAAGAGAGAAAGCGAGUGAUUUUUGAAUUGUUGAACAAACUUGCUUGAUGUACUUGUCUGUGCAAAGUCAGGUUGUUACAUUAUACAUGUAAAUAUGCAUGGAUAUAAUCAAAUGUUUCCUGGUAAGACAAGAAAUCCGGGCAUGUAUAUUUACAUUUUAAAAAAUUAUUAUAUAUUAUGUGACAAGCAGGAUUAAUUGUUAUUUUCUGCUGAAAGCAGUACGUGUUCUUAACACAUGCAAUGAAAAAAAAAAAUUCUUAUAUAAUAACUGGUCAGCAAUUUGAAUAUUUUAGAAUUUGAAAUGUCAUUUACAAUUAAAAAAAUUUUAAUUCAU